AUUGAACGCUGGCGGCAGGCCUAACACAUGCAAGUCGAACGAGUGGCGGACGGGUGAGUAAUGUCUGGGAAACUGCCUGAUGGAGGGGGAUAACUACUGGAAACGGUAGCUAAUACCGCAUACCAUCGGAUGUGCCCAGAUGGGAUUAGCUAGUAGGUGGGGUAAAGGCUCACCUAGGAGACGAUCCCUAGCUGGUCUGAGAGGAUGACCAGCCACACUGGAACGGAGACACGGGUCAAACUCCCUCGGGGGGGAGGAGUGGGGAAUAGUGGACAAUGGGCGGAAGCCUUAUGCAGCCCUGCCGCGGGGAUGAAGAAGGCCGUCGGGUUGUAAAGUACUUUCAGCGGGGAGGCGUUACCCGCAGAAGAAGCACCGGCUAACUCCGUGCCAGCAGCCGCGGUAAUAC
rnacentral:rRNA from 1 species